UACAGAGGUCUCAAGCGUUGUUCGGAUUCAUUGGGCGUAAAGGGUGCGUAGGCGGCGCGGUAAGUCGGGUGUGAAAUCUCGGAGCUUAACUCCGAAACUGCAUUCGAUACUGCCGUGCUUGAGGACUGGAGAGGAGAUUGGAAUUUACGGUGUAGCGGUGAAAUGCGUAGAUAUCGUAAGGAAGACCAGUGGCGAAGGCGGGUCUCUGGACAGUUCCUGACGCUGAGGCACGAAGGCCAGGGGAGCAAACGGG
rnacentral:rRNA from 1 species